AAUAUAUUUGAAUUAUAUCAUGCCUAAAGUAUACAAAAAUACCAUCAAGUCAGGAGCAACAAAAUUAUUUAAACGUGUUAAAAUGAAUCUUCCAAUAACAAAGAAAAACAAAGACAAUGCAAACAAAGAAGAAUUGAAUAUUUCAAAGCAUGCAGAAAGUAUGAUAGACAAGAUUUUAGGAGAUGUGAACAAAAAGUCUGCUACUAAACAAAUUAUUAUUGGUACAACAUCAGGAUGGUUGACUGGUUUUAUAACAAUAAAAAUUGGAAAAAUUACUGCAUUUGCAGUUGGUGGUGGAAUUAUAAUGCUCCAAAUUGCAGCACAUCAAGGAUAUAUUAAAAUUAAUUGGGAUAAAAUUCAAAAAAAAGCUGAGAAAAUAACAGAUAAAGUAGAAGAAACAGUAACUGGUGAAGGACCAAAAUUCUUGGAUAAGGUAGGAACAUGGUGUCGAAACAAUUCACUUGUGGCAACAAGUUUCAUUGGUGGUUUUAUUAUUGGUUUAGCAUCCUGAAUGAGCAACUAUUAGUUUUUUUACAAAAACAUGAGUGAACAUUAUAUAUUUGUUACUUUUAGCAUUAACAUUAUAUGUUAGGUCGAGAGAUACGUUGAUAAAAAGUUAGAUAAAGCUGAACAAUUAUUAA
rnacentral:misc_RNA from 1 species